rnacentral:sRNA from 1 species
CGCCUCUGCAGAGCGCGGCCGCAGCCUGGGGCCCGCAGCCCGUAGCCCGCAGCCCGCAGAGCCGCGCUGUCCGGGGCAUCCCGGUGCACGGCGUCCGUGGACCUGGGACCUCGAACCUGGGACGGGCGCAAAAUCCACUGGGAACACUUGCAUUUCUGAAAAAGGAAAUGAAACCAGAGACAGAGGGAAGCUGAGCGAAAAUAGACCUUCCCGAGAGAGGAGGAAGCCCGGAGUGAGACGCACGGUCCCCUCCCCGCCCCUAGGCCGCCGCCCCCUCUCUGCCCUCGGCGGCGAGCAGCGCGCCGCGACCCGGGCCGAAGGGAGCGCGGUGACUGCCCUUGAGCGCGGAGGGGCGAGCUCGC